rnacentral:rRNA from 1 species
AUUCGCGGCCUAUCAGCUUGUUGGUGGGGUGAUGGCCUACCAAGGCGACGACGGGUAGCCGGCCUGAGAGGGCGAUCGGCCACACUGGAACUGAGACACGGUCCAGACUCCUACGGGAGGCAGCAGUGGGGAAUAUUGCGCAAUGGGCGGAAGCCUGACGCAGCGACGCCGCGUGAGGGAUGAAGGUCUUCGGAUUGUAAACCUCUUUCAGUAGGGACGAAUUUGACGGUACCUGCAGAAGAAGCACCGGCCAACUACGUGCCAGCAGCCGCGGUAAUACGUAGGGUGCGAGCGUUGUCCGGAAUUAUUGGGCGUAAAGAGCUCGUAGGCGGUUCGUCGCGUCGAAUGUGAAAUCCCGGGGCUCAACUCCGGGUCUGCAUUCGAUACGGGCGGACUAGAGUUCGGUAGGGGAGACUGGAAUUCCUGGUGUAGCGGUGAAAUGCGCAGAUAUCAGGAGGAACACCGGUGGCGAAGGCGGGUCUCUGGGCCGAUACUGACGCUGAGGAGCGAAAGCGUGGGGAGCGAACAGGAUUAGAUACCCUGGUAGUCCACGCCGUAAACGGUGGGCGCUAGGUGUGGGGGACUUCCACGUUCUCUGUGCCGCAGCUAACGCAUUAAGCGCCCCGCCUGGGGAGUACGGAA